rnacentral:rRNA from 1 species
UGAGGAAUAUUGGUCAAUGGACGAGAGCCUGAACCAGCCAAGUAGCGUGCAGGAUGACGGCCCUAUGGGUUGUAAACUGCUUUUAUAUGGGAAUAAAGUGAGGGACGUGUCCCUUAUUGCAUGUACCAUACGAAUAAGGACCGGCUAAUUCCGUGCCAGCAGCCGCGGUAAUACGGAAGGUCCAGGCGUUAUCCGGAUUUAUUGGGUUUAAAGGGAGCGUAGGCUGUUUGUUAAGCGUGUUGUGAAAUGUAAGAGCUCAACUUUUAGAUUGCAGCGCGAACUGGCAGACUUGAGUGCGCACAACGUAGGCGGAAUUCAUGGUGUAGCGGUGAAAUGCUUAGAUAUCAUGACGAACUCCGAUUGCGAAGGCAGCUUACGGGAGCGCAACUGACGCUAAAGCUCGAAGGUGCGGGUAUCGAACAGG